CGGUACCGGCACCAACACCGGUACCAGCACUGGCAUCGGCAUCAACGCCGGUACCAGCACCGGCACCCGGCACCGGCACCGCGCGGGGGGACGGGCGGGCGGCGGGGCUGGACGCGGACCCGUCCCUGAAGCCGAACCAAGCGUCGGUGCGGGCACAGAGCUACCGCAGACUCCUCGAGCAGGACCGAACGCUUCAUCCAUUUACGCGUCUUCCAGCUUCCUAAAACGAUUCUUGUACGGGGGAGGAGAGGGUUUGUUUGAUUUAGUUUGGAUUUUGUUUUGUUUUAGUACCAAAUAAGUGGAGAAGCACUGGGUAGAAAUCACUUGCAGGGUUUGGUCUCCAUUCCUAGAAAAUCCUCAGGAGUUCUGUGGGACCAGUGAUCCUGCUCGGCAAGAGGCUGGUGCCUCAAAAUUGUCAGAAGAUGGGUGAAUGGGAGAAAAUAAAUCCCAGAAAAGUGCUUUUCUCCAGGCAGAGUAGGAGGACUGAGGACCUCUUGGAGGGAUGUUCAGCCUGCAAACUUGCUUUCGCCUCUGAAUCCUGCAGUUAAGAUCAUAAAUGGAUGCCUGAACAGUUUGUCUAGGAGAAGAGCAGAAGAAACUAAGAACAGAAUGAACAGCCAGUGUGGUAUGAAGACAGAUAAAAGUAACUGUAUGAGGAUGGGUAAGAAAAUGCAAAUAGAUGCAAAAAGUAACUGUAUGAGGAUGGGUAAGAAAAUGCAAAAAGUAACUGCAUGAGGAUGGGUAAGAAAAUGCAAAUGAGUUGUUUUCAGUCUAACUUAAUAAAAUGGAACAUCCUUUUAUGACAAGUCA